AUGAGUUAAGUAUAAACCCCUUUACAAGUAUCAAUUGGAGGGCAAGUCUGGUGCCAGCAGCCGCGGUAAUUCCAGCUCCAAUAGCGUAUAUUAAAGUUGUUGCAGUUAAAAAGCUCGUAGUUGGAUUUCUGUUAAUAAUUUAUAUAAUAUUUUAACGAUAUUAUAUAAUAUUAACAUAAUUCAUAUUACUAUAAUUUAUUUAGUAUAUGAAAUUUUACUUUGAGAAAAUUAGAGUGCUUAAAGCAGGCAUUUGCCUUGAAUACUCCAGCAUGGAAUAAUAUAAAAGAUUUUUAUCUUUUUUAUUGGUUCUAAGAUAAAAAUAAUGAUUAAUAGGGACAGUUGGGGGCAUUUGUAUUUAACAGUCAGAGGUGAAAUUCUUAGAUUUGUUAAAGACAAACUAAUGCGAAAGCAUUUGCCAAGGAUGUUUUCAUUAAUCAAGAACGAAAGUUAGGGGAUCGAAGACGAUCAGAUACCGUCGUAGU
rnacentral:rRNA from 1 species